GCCGCUCUGGCAGAAUUGGCAAAUGCACCGCCCGCUAAGCAGGGGCCGGUUGAUCCGGCUUCCGGGAUCGGGACCCGGGAGCGGCG
rnacentral:tRNA from 1 species